rnacentral:rRNA from 1 species
CAUUUGCCAAGCGCGUCUUCAUUAUCAGACGAAAGUCAGAGGUUCGAAGGCGAUCAGAUACCGCCCUAGUUCUGACCGUAAACGAUGCCAACUAGCGAUCCGACGGCGGCUUUCAGGCCCUGUUGGGGAGCUUCCCGGAAACGAAAGUCUUCCGGUUCCGGGGGAAGUAUGGUUGCAAAGCUGAAACUUAAAGGAAUUGACGGAAGGGCACCACCAGGAGUGGAGCCUGCGGCUUAAUUUGACUCAACACGGGAAAACUCACCCGGCCCGGACACCGUGAGGAUUGACAGAUUGAUAGCUUUUUCAUGAUUCGGUGGUUGGUGGUGCAUGGCCGUUCUUAGUUCGUGGAUCGAUUUGUCUGGUUUAUUCCGAUAACGAGCGAGACUCCAGCCUACUAACUAGUGCGGGCGUUGUCUCUGCGCUUGUCACUUCUUAGAGGGAUUGGCUGCGCCUAGCGGCACGAAACGGAGCAAUAACAGGUCUGUGAUGCCCUUAGAUGUCCGGGGCUGCACGCGCGCUACACUGGCAAAGGCAGCGUGCUUGUCCGCCUCCGAAAGGAGCCGGUAAACCCUUGAAAAUUUGCCGUGAUUGGGAUCGGAAAUUGCAAUUAUUUUCCGUGAACGAGGAAUUCCUAGUAAGUGCGAGUCAUCAGCUCGCGUUGAUUACGUCCCUGCCCUUUGUACACACCGCCCGUCGCUGCCUAGAACUGAGCCAUUUCGAGAAUAUUCGGGAUCGCUGGUUGCGGGCCUUUCGGGGCACGCCUCUGGCAAGAGAACGAACGUAAUCGCAGUGGCUUGAACCGGGCAAAAGU